rnacentral:tRNA from 2 species
GAGUCUGUAGCUCAGCUUGGAUAGAGCGAUAGCCUUCUAAGCUAUAGGUCGCGGGUUCAAAUCCCGCCAGACUCG